rnacentral:rRNA from 1 species
UACAGAGGAUGCAAGCGUUAUCCGGAAUGAUUGGGCGUAAAGCGUCUGUAGGUGGCUUUUAAGUCCGCCGUCAAAUCCCAGGGCUCAACUCUGGACAGGCGGUGGAAACUACCAAGCUGGAGUACGGUAGGGCAGAGGGAAUUCCGGUGGAGCGGUGAAAUGCGUAGAGAUCGGAAGAACACCAACGGCGAAGCACUCUGCUGGGCCGACACUGACAUGAGAGACGAAAGCUAGGGGAGCGAAUGGG